ACUCUCAACAACGGAUAUCUUGGCUCUCGCAACGAUGAAGAACGCAGCGAAAUGCGAUACGUAGUGUGAAUUGCAGAAUUCCGUGAACCAUCGAAUCUUUGAACGCAUAUUGCGCUCGAGCCCUCGGGCAAGAGCAUGUCUGCCUCAGCGUCGGUUUAUACCCUCACCCCUCUCUCCUUUUGGAGGGCUGGUCAGCUUCUAGUUGGCCUCAGGGAUGGAUCUGGCUUUCCCAAUUGGUUCACUCCGAUUGGGUUGGCUGAAGCUUAGAGGCUUAAGCAAGGACCCGAUAUGGGCUUCAACUGGAUAGGUAGCACCGGCUUCUGCCGACUACACGAAGUUGUGGCUUGUGGACUUUGCUAGAGGCCAAGCAGGAAACAUGCUUUGCAUGUCUUAAACUUUCGACCUGAGCUCAGGCAAGGCUACCCGCUGAACUUAAGCAUAUCAAUAAGCGGAGGAAAAGAAACUAACUAGGAUGCGCUUAGUAACGGCGAGCGAACCGCGCAAAGCCCAACUUGAAAAUCUCCCUUGGAGAAUUGUAGUCUAUAGAAGUACCCUCUGUAACGGGCGCAGCUCAAGUCUCCUGGAAAGGGGCGUCAGAGAGGGUGAGAACCCCGUAAGCUGUUGCUUUGUUGCCUCACGAGGUGCUUUCAAAGAGUCGGGUUGCUUGGGAAUGCAGCCCAAAUUUGGUGGUAAAUCCCAUCUAAGGCUAAAUAUUGGCGAGAGACCGAUAGCGAACAAGUACCGUGAGGGAAAGAUGAAAAGAACUUUGAAAAGAGAGUUAAAAAGUGCUUGAAAUUGUUGAGGGGGAAGCGUUUGAAUGCUAGAGUGCGCCUAGGCUUAUGGGUUCUUAACGGAGCUCUGUAUGUGCUAGGUGCUGGCCAGCAUGGGUUAGGCGAGCGGGAUAAACGCUGGGUUGAUACCCGGUCUAUGCCGCUUGCUUGACCAAGGCGUGAAGACUGCCCUUGUCCUUCGGGAACUGCAGUCUCAAGAUGCUGGCAAAAGGCUUUCAACCGACCCGUCUUGAAACACGGACCAAGGAGUCUAACAUGUAUGCGAGUUGGUGGGUGGAAAACCCAUGAAGCGUAAGGAAACUGACUGGUGAGAUGGCCUGUGCCUGCAUCAUCGACCGACCAUGCGUUUCUGCAAAAGGUUUGAGUGCGAGCAUACCUGUUGGGACCCGAAAGAUGGUGAACUAUGCCUGAGCAGGGUGAAGCCAGGUGAAAACCUGGUGGAGGCUCGUAGAUGUGCUGACGUGCAAAUCGCUUUUCGGACUUGGGUAUAGGGGCGAAAGACUAAUCGAACCAUCUAGUAGCUGGUUUCCUCCGAAGUUUCCCCCAGGAUAGCUGGAGCUUAAUCGGAGUACGGUCAGGUAAAGCGAAUGAUUAGAGGUUCGGGGGAUGUAACAUCCUUCACCUAUUCUCAAACUUUAAAUAGGCCGGACGUCCAGGUUGCUUAAUUGAACCUGUGGCAUUCUAUCCGAGCUCCAAGUGGGGCCAUUUUUGGUAAGCAGAACUGGCGAUGCGGGAUGAACCGAUAGUCGAGUUAAGGUGCCAAACUACGCGCUAACCUAGAUCCCACAAAGGGUGUUGAUUGAUAUAGACAGCAGGACGGUGGUCAUGGAAGUCGAAAUCCGCUAAGGAGUGUGUAACAACUCACCUGCCGAAUCAAUUAGCCCCGAAAAAUGGAUGGCGCUGAAGCGCGUGACCUAUACUCGGCCCAUGGAAGUAAGUGCGAGACUUCCAUGAGUAGGAGGACGUGAAUAUCGUUGCGCAGCCUGGGGCGUGAGCCUGGGUGAAACGGUAUUUAGUGCAGAUCUUGGUGGUAGCUAGCAAAUAUUCAAAUGAGAACUUUGAAGACUGAAGUGGAGAAAGGUUCCAUGUGAACAGCAAUUGGACAUGGGUUAGUCGAUCCUAAGAGAU
rnacentral:rRNA from 1 species